rnacentral:lncRNA from 1 species
ACCUCCUUAUUCCCUCAAUAUCCUCUUGCUAGGGGGAGAUUCAUCUUCGUCGUCGCACCCAGCUGCUGCUACUGCCAGUGCCACGUGCCUUGCAAGGGCAAGGCGAUAUGGAAGCACAGGUUCCAUCCCUGGACUAGUGCAGUGGGUUAAGAAACUGGCAUUGGCACAACUAUGGGAUAAAGAAGCACCAGCAGAGCUGGCGAGCAGAAACCUGGCCUCAGGGCAAAAGAGAUGCCACAGAAAUAGUUACACAGGCCUCGGAAGGGAAGCCUCCACUGCGUGUACGGCCCCCGUGGACUGCCACAGGAUUUCCUAGGAUCCUCCUGGAAGCCUCAAAGAAUGGGUCAGAUUUUUUGGAUUCUAAGCAUCAUGACACUCUAUAAAAGAGAGCCUGGAGCGAACUUGAAAUUAAGCCACACAGGCAGCCAUUUACUUGGUUAAUGAACAUUGCUAUUUCAUUGGUUUUAAGGUAAGUAUAAUUUAGAUCAAUGCCUUGAAGAAACACUGUAAAUUAUCACUUGGAGAGUUUUCCAUUCUCUUUCAAGAGCAGCUCCUAUCUUCAUUGUAACAACUGUGCUUUUUCCAGAGGGACCAUGCUUGCAGUAACUCUUCAUGUAUAACAUCAUAGGUACCUGUAUCACUUUUGUUGUAAUGUAAUCCAGUUCAUGUUUAUUCCAUUUUACAAUUAACUUGGGGAAACAAGGAACCGUUGAACCACUAGCAUGAAUUGAAUCUAUGAGAAUUUUUCAUCUUCACGAAAUUUAUCCUGAAGUGCUUUUCUUUAGAUUUCUGACAUAUUUGAAUCGAAGAUUUGAGAAUACUAAAGUCACUGUCAGUUACCACGAGGGAAUGCGUUUAGAAAUAUUUUUCAAUUUGGUGAUCACAAAAGAAAUUUGACAUACAUUUAAAAACUGUCAGUUUACCAUUUUGUGGUUAUCACCAAGGAUAAAAUACAUUGUAAUUUUAAAUGGCAGAGUUUGUUAUAGAAAUCAGUUUUGCCAUUGUCUUUUGAGUAUUGCAAAUGCAAAGACCAUAUAUUAAAGUCCAGGAUUUAUAUAAUCUUUAUAAAAUUCUGGGAUAAACCAGAUUUGUGAAUUUGCAUGACACAGACAUCAGAUGUGUGACUAUGGGGUUUGUAGAUGAAUGGUAGGGUUUGUUCUAAUGUCUUUAAUCACCUCUCACACCUUUCAAUUCAUCAUUUUGAAAAUGGUAAUUGAGUAUGACCAUAUUCUAUUGUGCAAAAAUGACUUAGAAACCAUAGGGACUACAUUCUCCAGUGUGCGCAAAGAGCAUUUCUUCUUGGAUGUUAAAAAGCAUUAAAUUGAAAUUCGAUAUAUUAAUGUAAUUUUACCCG